UACGGAGGGUGCAAGCGUUAUCCGGAUUCACUGGGUUUAAAGGGUGCGUAGGCGGGCAGGUAAGUCCGUGGUGAAAUCUCUGAGCUUAACUCAGAAACUGCCAUGGAUACUAUUUGUCUUGAAUAUUGUGGAGGUAAGCGGAAUAUGUCAUGUAGCGGUGAAAUGCUUAGAUAUGACAUAGAACACCAAUUGCGAAGGCAGCUCACUACGGAUUGAUUGACACUGAGGCACGAAAGCGUGGGGAUCAAACAGG
rnacentral:rRNA from 1 species